GGGGGGUCUCCAAGAAGUGUGUGUUGGUGAGCAUGGGGAGCAACCCCUCAGCUUUCCCACUGCCUUGGCCUUGUCCUGCUUGGGGACUGCAGGGCGGGAAACAUCCCUGAGGCACAGCUGCAGUGUGACUGGUCCCAUAGGGCUGGGCCACUGCCUGGCGUGUCUGAGCCAGGGUGGCAAAACCAGCUUGACCACACGGGUGGCUACACUGCCUAUAUCUUCAGCUAGUCACUGUCUGCAAGUAAUAUUUCUUCCUUUGCCUAUUUUCUGUACCAAUGUGCAAAGUGGAUGCAAGGGAUGAAGAAAAGGGAUAACAAGAACAGGAUGCCCUGAGAAGCUCAGAAUUCCCCUUUUCCAGAAAUAUUUAAGGCUUCCCUCAGUCAAACUGUUUAUUUGCAAAAAAUAUGAAGGGGUUUUCUCUGGGCCCUGAGGAGAAUAUACACCACAUCCUGAGGGAGAAGGGACAGCAGCCAUGACUGCAGCAAACUACAUCAGCUACAUGCAUGCACUCAACUUCCUGUCAGAAAGUUCCGGAAAUGUUUGUCCUGUGUUAGGGAAGCUACUGAACUAUCAUGGAGGGAGGGGUCACUACAGUUACAAGCAAGAAAUUAAGCAUCCAAGUACAUUAAGUACACUUUUCUAACUCUUCAGUGUUUAUGAAGUGGAUGUGUGGAGUAAAGAUACAGAAUAUUCUCAAGUGGAUGUGACUCCUAUCUUACCGCUUCCAUAAGAUCGAGAACUCUACUGAAGGUGAAUCACAUGUGUAGAAGAAAUGAAGCUAAAUCAAAGAGCAGCUUUACGUUCAGCUCUGAACACAGCCAACGACGCAGUAACUUGCUCUGAGACGUCUUGUGUGAACCACCUUGUGCCACCUCUCUCCUGCAGUUCAGCCCACACGGUCCAGAAAAGGGCAGGCUUUCCAAGAGCGGGCUUAACUUCCAAUAUGAUGAUUGCAAGAAAAAUCGCUGCUGCUGUCUAGGGUAACUGGUAAAGUGAUUUCUAUCUAACCGCUAACGUUAACUGGUAUUUCAGCAACAUUCACAGGGUUUCCUGUGAGGUUCAGCUGACUUCACAGUCUUUUUCAAAUAAUUGGGCAUAGAAAUGAAAUAAAACAGUUUGGUCAUAUACA
rnacentral:lncRNA from 1 species